rnacentral:rRNA from 1 species
AGUGAACGCUGGCGGCGUGCUUAACACAUGCAAGUCGAGCGGAUUCCGGCAGUGUAUCGCCGGAGUCAGCGGCAGACGGGUGAGUAAUAUUUGGGUAAUUUACCCUUCAGAGGGAGACAACCUGCCGAAAGGCGGGCUAAUAUCCCGUAAGACCACAGGAUCGCAUGAUCCAGGGGUUAAAGCUCCGCAAGGGGCGCUGAUGGAGAAACCCGAAUCCUAUCAUGGUAGUUGGUGAGGUAACGGCUCACCAAGCCUUUGACGGGUAGCCGGCCUGAAAGGGCUGAUCGGCCACACUGGCACUGAGGCACGGGCCAGACUCCUACGGGAGGCAGCAGUGGGAAUUUGGACAAUGGGGCAACCCUGAUCCAGCGACGCCGCGUGGAGGACGAAGGUC